AGCGAAGCGGGAAGAGCUCAAAUUUAUAAUCUGGCACCUUCGGUGUCCGAGUUGUAAUCUCUAGAAAUGUUUUCCGCGUUGGACCGCACACAAGUCUGUUGGAAUACAGCGGCAUAGUGGUGAGACCCCCGUAUAUGGUGCGGACGCCCAGCGCUUUGUGAUACAUUUUCGAAGAGUCGAGUUGUUUGGGAAUGCAGCUCAAAUUGGGUGGUAAAUUCCAUCUAAAGCUAAAUAUUGGCGAGAGACCGAUAGCGAACAAGUACCGUGAGGGAAAGAUGAAAAGCACUUUGGAAAGAGAGUUAACAGUACGUGAAAUUGUUGGAAGGGAAACGCUUGAAGUCAGACUUGCUUGCUGAGCAAUCGGUUUGCAGGCCAGCAUCAGUUUUCCGGGAUGGAUAAUGGUAGAGAGAAGGUAGCAGUUUCGGCUGUGUUAUAGCUCUCUGCUGGAUACAUCUUGGGGGACUGAGGAACGCAGUGUGCCUUUGGCGGGGGUUUCGACCUCUUCACACUUAGGAUGCUGGUGGAAUGGCUUUAAACGACCCGUCUUGAA
rnacentral:rRNA from 1 species